UUACGGCCACAUCACGUUGAAACAUCCAUUCCCGUACGAACACCGAAGUUAAGCAACAUCGUGCCUGGUCAGUACCUAGAUAGGCGACCGCUUGGGAUUACCAGGUUC